rnacentral:lncRNA from 1 species
UAAACUUUCACAUAAAAGUGAGCUCAUGUGACAUAGAUAUAUCGUAUGAUUUCACAUCACCUCUCACACUGAUCCGAUGUCACAUAAUCAUAGGAAUAGUCUCAUAGAUUGCUUUCGUAUGCAUCACAUAACUACCUUAUGAUUUAGUGCAAAUCAAGCUCACAUAUAAACUUGAAGUACAUACCUGUUUAACCUUUCGCAUUGAAUAUAUUUAUAAGCAAUUCUUAUUACGAAGUCUUACCCGGACAUAAUCUCCACACGAAGUUAUCGGGUCUUAUCCGGACAAAAUCCCCACACGUAGUCAUCGGGUCUUUAGAGCUCGGAUAUAGUACAAGCACGAAGCUUAAGGACAUUAAUCAGUGAUAAUAUUCUCGCAUAAAGCCUGCGGGGUUUUAACCCGGAUAUAGUACUGACACAAAUGCCUUUCGGGACUUAUCACAUUUAUGCACUUUCACAUCCAUUACGUUGGCCACUCGGCCCUGUCACAUAUAUACACUUUCACAUUCAUUACAUCGGCCAUUAGGCCUUAUCACAUAUAUACACUUUCACAUUCAUCGCAUCGGCCAUUAGGCCUUAUCACAUAUAUACACUUUCACAUUCAUCACAUCGGCCAUUAGGCCUUAUUACAUAUAUACACUUUCACAUUCAUCACGUCGGCUAUUAGGCCUUAUCACACAUAUACACUUUCACAUUCAUCACAUCGGCUAUUAGGCCUUAUUACAUAUAUACAUACACUUUCACAUUCAUCACAUCGGCUAUUAGGCCUUAUUACAUAUAUACAUACACUUUCACAUUCAUCACCUCGGCUAUUAGGCCUUAUCACACAUAUACACUUUCACAUUCAUCACGUCGGCUAUUAGGCCUUAUCACACAUAUACACUUUCACAUUUAUCACAUCGGCUAUUAGGCCUUAUUACAUAUAUACAUAUACU